UCUGAAACCAUAGAGUGCCACCCUGUAAUUAAUUACACAAAAAAUUUCAUUUUCCAGCAACUACAAUGGAGUGAGGAACUCAAAUGCGAUCAACCAUUUGAAAGAGCAACACUUGGUUAAACACUCCUCUAUAAAAUUACAUAUUUUACAUGUGCCAAACAAAGAUAAAUAUUUCAUGUGGUCAUAUUAUUAAGCAAUUCAAACUUCAUACAAUACAUUUUCCCCACUGACUGAAAACAGUAAAGUUAAUUUAAUAAGACACAUACUGAGACAAAAAAAAGGAGGUAUUUCUGGAACCGAGGAGUGAUGAUAAAUUCACUUCCUAUUGACACAAAG
rnacentral:misc_RNA from 1 species